rnacentral:misc_RNA from 1 species
AAGUUUCUCAACCACAUUGAUUAUUAUUUUUUGAUGUGGCUUGGAUUGGUGGGGGAUGCGGGCUUUUUAAAAUGAAGUUGGCUCUCCUGAAAUGCAUUAGUAGUAUCUGAGCACUACUACACAGGUGUGAUAAUUUAUCUAUGCCUUGGUGUUGUAGCCUGCAUGAAAUCAGAUUGCGCUGCUUCUAAUCUUGUCGCUUUUUUAAUGA